AAAAAAAAAAAAAAAAAAAAAAAAAAAACAAGUGCAGCAAAAAAAGGACAAGAACAAGAGUACCGAUAAAAAGUGACAAACUUUCACUGUUUCUGAGGGCAGCGGACAGGCUGAUAAAGUGGUGCAAUUACACCUGAAGUAAAGGUUCUCUCCUUGGUUGGCUCCAGCGUAUCGUACUAACUGAAUGUGUCGUCGUAUGAUUCUUUUGACCUCGAUGACAUGGGGACGGCUUCGAGUCAAGCUCCAUCCAAGAAUCGGCAAUGGUAACUUUAUUGUUCUCAUUUAUCUAGCAUAUAUA